CCCGCUUGACCCCGAACAACGUCUGUUGUUCAUUCAUGAAAAUGGCGCGAGAUCGCAGCGUGUUAAAAUCAGCGCCGACAACAAUCAAAGCCGACAUUUGGAUACGUGAAGUCGACAGUCGUCACGCCGCGUGUGAGCCUCGCGAGUCAGUGUUAAAACACCGCAACAACACGACGAACCUGCGCAACCGUUUGCGCCAAAACCACGCAGGUGUUCUGCAGCCCGUAACUGAAGCUAACGCUAACGCUAACGCUAAAGCUAAAGCUGUGGGGCAAAUGCAGGUAAACAAACGUGUGGUCUGCAAACUACAGUCAGGCUCCUUCAAGCAAGACUCCUGCAGGAGGUGCAACCUGGCUCCUCACUCCUGCAGGAGGUGCAACUUGCCCCCCUGCUGCGCGCGAUAAUCUCCAGUCAGAAAUGUGGACCUGUGGAGACCUUUACUCGCCAAGUCACCGAGGAAUCCAGAUCAGAAAUGAUAAAAACCCAGAGUUGACCAGUAAAUGCAGCGACCACGAGGCAGCCGAGGAGCUGGAGCCGCAGGAAGAACAAGAAGACAAUAAUGUUGUUUUAGUGUUUAAAUAAACACCAAGACAUGCUUCGUGUUUGUGAUAAUAAGUUAAAGGUCUCACUGGUCUUUAUUAUAUCCAGCAUUCAGUAUGAGUUAUUGUGUUAUCCAGAACAAAGCACGUUAAGCCUAAUUAUAGUUGCACUUAAAAAAAUAAAAAAUAAGCACAGUGUGCCUUUGUUUACAUUUCAACUCAAACUUAAGGACAAGACGUGCUUUUUACUUUUUUCCAUUAAAUUACUGUUAAGUUGACGUUUGUGCACUUUUCUGUACUUUAAAUGUUUA